AGAGUUUGAUCCUGGCUCAGGACGAACGCUGGCGGCGUGCCUAACACAUGCAAGUCGAACGGAGACACACGCUGAUUUGACGGUAGCUUGCUACAAGAUUUUCUUGUGUGUCUUAGUGGCGGACGGGUGAGUAACGCGUGAGUAACCUGCCUUUCAGAGGGGGACAACAGUUGGAAACGACUGCUAAUACCGCAUAACGUAUGACCGAGGCAUCUCGGACAUACCAAAGGAGCAAUCCGCUGAAAGAUGGACUCGCGUCCGAUUAGGUAGUUGGUGAGGUAACGGCCCACCAAGCCUACGAUCGGUAGCCGGACUGAGAGGUUGAACGGCCACAUUGGGACUGAGACACGGCCCAGACUCCUACGGGAGGCAGCAGUGGGGGAUAUUGCACAAUGGAGGAAACUCUGAUGCAGCAACGCCGCGUGAGGGAAGAAGGUUUUCGGAUUGUAAACCUCUGUUUUUAGUGAAGAAAAAAAUGACGGUAGCUAAAGAGGAAGCCACCGGCUAACUACGUGCCAGCAGCCGCGGU
rnacentral:rRNA from 1 species